rnacentral:rRNA from 1 species
ACUCCUACGGGAGGCAGCAGUGAGGAAUAUUGGACAAUGGUCGGAAGACUGAUCCAGCCAUGCCGCGUGCAGGAAGACUGCCCUAUGGGUUGUAAACUGCUUUUAUACAGGAAGAAUAAGCUCUACGAGUAGAGUGAUGACGGUACUGUAAGAAUAAGCAUCGGCUAACUCCGUGCCAGCAGCCGCGGUAAUACGGAGGAUGCAAGCGUUAUCCGGAAUCAUUGGGUUUAAAGGGUCCGUAGGCGGUCAAUUAAGUCAGAGGUGAAAUCCUAUAGCUUAACUAUAGAACUGCCUUUGAUACUGGUUGACUUGAGUUAUACGGAAGUAGGUAGAAUGUGUAGUGUAGCGGUGAAAUGCAUAGAUAUUACACAGAAUACCGAUUGCGAAGGCAGCCUACUACGUAUAUACUGACGCUCAUGGACGAAAGCGUGGGGAGCGAACAGGAUUAGAUACCCUGGUAGGCGUAGU